UGGGGAAUAUUGGGCAAUGGGCGCAAGCCUGACCCAGCAACGCCGCGUGAGGGAAGAAGGUUUUCGGAUUGUAAACCUCUGUCCUUGGUGACGAAGGAAGUGACGGUAGCCAAGGAGGAAGCCCCGGCUAACUACGUGCCAGCAGCCGCGGUAAUACGUAGGGGGCGAGCGUUGUCCGGAAUGACUGGGCGUAAAGGGCGUGUAGGCGGCUCUUUAAGUCUGGAGUGAAAGUCCUGCUUUCAAGGUGGGAAUUGCUUUGGAGACUGGAGAGCUUGAGUGCGGAAGAGGUAAGUGGAAUUCCCAGUGUAGCGGUGAAAUGCGUAGAGAUUGGGAGGAACACCAGUGGCGAAGGCGACUUACUGGGCCGUAACUGACGCUGAGGCGCGAAAGCGUGGGGAGCGAACAGG
rnacentral:rRNA from 2 species